UACGUAGGGGGCAAGCGUUGUCCGGAAUCAUUGGGCGUAAAGAGCGUGUAGGCGGCCCGAUAAGUCCGCCGUGAAAGUCCAGGGCUCAACCCUGGAAUGCCGGUGGAAACUGUCGGGCUGGAGUCCGGAAGAGGCGAGUGGAAUUCCUGGUGUAGCGGUGAAAUGCGCAGAUAUCAGGAGGAACACCAAUGGCGAAGGCAGCUCGCUGGGACGGUACUGACGCUGAGACGCGAAAGCGUGGGUAGCAAACAGG
rnacentral:rRNA from 1 species